AGCGGCCCGGCCCCGGCUCGGCUCCGCGGGCAGCUGCAGAAAUUCCGGGGCGGCGGCCGGCUGCACCAGAUCUGAGGGAAAGCGGCCCACGCGCCCGUGGACAGUCCCGAACCGCCAGCCUAGAGACAGGCCCCACCUGGCCAGGAAGCCACGGGCCCGACUUUGCAGCAAAAUGAUCUUCCGACGCAGAGAGUAGAAACGCCUCUGGGUGAAGAAGCCACGCAGGCAGCGCUGCAGCGUGAGGGCAGCUCGGUUCAGCACACGUUCCCGCAUACUCUCCAGCAGCUGGUGUAGGUGCUCCUUGAGGAAGAGCUGGGGAUGGAAGGCGGCAUGAGUGCCUCUCUUGAGGAACCCAUGAAGACACAGCAGCCAGGACUGCUUUAGGUGUAUGGCUGGGAGCAGCAGACUCAACACUGAAACUAUGAAAAAAAGGAAGUACCUGUCAAUAAACACCUGGAAGGGUAGUCGCACUGGGAAACCUUCCUUUCGGAUCCGCACGGUCUCCAGUACCCCUGAAUAACGUAACUGUGCCAUCAUGACAUCUGGUUCAAAGAGACCUGGCUCCUAGAAGGGGGCCCAGAGAGGACAUCUACACAUUACCCACUAGAUCCAGUAGUGACUGCUGGAACUUGGCAGCCACAGUGUGAGCCUUGUAGAGUCGAGUAAUGGAGCUGCUCUUGCCCAGGCGCUGAGGGGCCUGUGCAGCAUGGCUGGAGAAGAGAUGUGCCACCACCUGG